UACGUAGGUGGCAAGCGUUACUCGGAAUCACUAGGACGUAAAGCGCAGGUAGGCGGUUUGGUAAGUCUUUUGUGAAAGCUCCCGGCUCAACUGGGAGAGGUCAAAGGAAACUACCAGGCUAGAGUGUGGCAGAGGAAGCUAGAAUUCCCGGUGUAGCGGUGAAAUGCGUAGAUAUCGGGAGGAAUACCUAUGGCGAAAGCAGGCUUCUGGGCCGUCACUGACGCUGAUCUGCGAAAGCUAGGGGAGCAAACAGG
rnacentral:rRNA from 1 species